rnacentral:tRNA from 1 species
GAAGGUAUAGCUCAGUGGUAGAGCAUGUGCUUAGCAUGCACAAGGUCCUGGGUUCAAGCCCCAGUAUCUUCA